rnacentral:tRNA from 1 species
GGUGUAUGGCUCAGUGGUAGAGCAUGUUCUUAGCAUGCAUGAGGUCCUAGGUUCAAUCCCUGGUAACUCCA